rnacentral:rRNA from 1 species
UACGUAGGGGGCAAGCGUUGUCCGGAUUUAUUGGGCGUAAAGAGCGUGUAGGCGGCCUGACAGGUCUGCUGUGAAAGCUCGAGGCUCAACCUCGAGAUGUCGGCGGAAACCGUCUGGCUAGAGUCCGGAAGAGGAGAGUGGAAUUCCUGGUGUAGCGGUGAAAUGCGCAGAUAUCAGGAAGAACACCUAUGGCGAAGGCAGCUCUCUGGGACGGUAUUGACGCUGAGACGCGAAAGCGUGGGGAGCAAACAGG